rnacentral:rRNA from 1 species
GACGAACGCUGGCGGCGUGCUUAACACAUGCAAGUCGAGCGGUAAGGCCCUUUCGGGGGUACGACGAGCGGCGGAACGGGUAGGAGUAACACGUGGGUGGACCUCGCCCUCCAGCUCUGGGAGUAAGCCUGGGAAACGUAGGGUCGUAAUACUGGAUAUGACUCCACGGUGCAUGUCGUGGGGUGGAAAGCCUUGUGCGGCGUGAGGAUGGGCCCGGCCGGCCUAUCAGCUUGUUGGUGGGGUGAUGGCCUACCAAGGCGACGAC